GACAAAAUGUUGAGAAUCAACCAAUCAUCUUCUCCCGUUACACGUGAUCCAGCUGUUGAUCACAGCUGCUGUAGAUGGAGAUGACCUCAUGGAUGUUGACUCCAGUCAGCAGCUGUUUGGAGCUCCAUGAAUGGUGAUGUCAGCAUGUGAUGUCAGCAGGUCACCUGGUCAACAUUUAGUCACUGAUACCACAUUUGUCCUCUAGCCAAAUUAAAUAGAAGCAUCCACACAUGAUGCUGCCACCACCGUGCUUCACGAUGGAGAUUGUGUCUGUGGUGAUGUUCAGUGUUUGGUGUCUAGUAUAACGAACAAAAACCUCCAUGUUUGUCUCCUCAGACCAAAGAACCUUCUUCCAGUUGACUUCAGAGUCUUCAGAGACUCUUACUAUGUAGAAAUCUGUAUUAACUUUGUCAUUUAAGAGUCUUUUUUUUAAUUAUCUAAAAAAAAACACGAUUCAGUGUUGAAAAGCUAUGAAGACAGAACUUUUUAGAGGGUGAACCUUUUUAUUGGCGCCAUACCAGACAAACUGAUAUGAGUCUUAAAGUGACCCAGAAAGACCUUUUGAAAGUUUUUUCUUGUGAAUUAUCAGAAAUCAGAAAUACAUCCAGGAUUGUCUCUGACUCACACUGGGAUAAAUCCCAUAAUACUGAUGAUCACAGAUGGGUAGAAAGGAAAUGACCAGAAACCAGAUCCAGUGUUCAGACUGAGACUCCUGGAUGGAUUUAAACUGAUCUGGAGUCAGUUUCUACCAGAACUCAGAUGUUCCUCCUCCUAAAUGUCAUGGUUCUAUCUGCUGGACUGAUGAAGUUCUGAUGAAGUCCAUUAAAAAGUGAUAAAUGUGGACUCACCUCUAUGGACUUCAAGGACCUGGAAUGUUCUAAGUGAGACUAAGCUUAAAGACAGUUGUCGGUAGGUGUAUUCUAGGACUUUCUACAGUUUUCAACAACUCUGAACAUUCAUAAAGUUACUGGAGAUGAAGACCCAGUUGAAUCUUGGGGGUAAUGUCGCAUCUUUUGGGGGAGAUUUUGUCUUUUCGGGGUUAUUUUGGGGUAAUUUUGCAUCUUUCUGCAGUGAUCUUGUGUGUUUGUGGUAAUCGUACAAAAAGACCAAAAUUUAGUUCUUGGUCUUUCUGCCUUUUUGUGAAAAUGCUGUGUCUUUUUGAACUGAUUUUGCAUGUUUUUUGGACGUUUUGUGUCUUUUUGUUGGAAUUUUCAAGCCUCUUUUUAGCUAUUUCAGCAGCAGUUUCUACCAGAACUCAGAUGUUUAUCCUCCUAAACGUCAUGGUUCUAUCAGCUGGACUGAUGAAGUUCUGAAAAAGUCCAUUAAGAAGUGAUAAAUUUGGACCCCCCCUCUUUGGAACUCUGGAAAUAUUCCCAGGCUGAAGGCAGAACUCUGAUAAAGAACCAGCUGCUUCUCUGGUUUCAUUUCUGGGCUUCCAUUGAACUGCUGCUCUCCGAGUUCCUCCAUCGUCCAGAUGUGACCUCAGCUGCUGGAUCAGUUUGUGAACUUUCUCCCUCUAAUUCCACUGUUGCUGGAUCCAUGCAGCCACAUGUAGGUUGUGUGUUUUAAAUGCUCGUAUGGACACGCAGCCUGCCUGCAUAUAAUCCAAUCCUUUUAAAGUAGUUCAUACAAGCAAUUAUGUCCCCGUGGAUAAUGUCCCACUAAUCUUGAAGGGAGGCGGAGGACGAUUAUCCCUUUCUGAGGCCGAUGUUUUCUCCUUCUCCACAGCAGGAUCAGCUCGUUACUCCGCUGCCCAGAAAUGUCUUUUAAUGAUUACUGAAUUAACUUUUAUAUCCUGCCGUCACUAAUGGACAGAUUUCUCCCAACCGUCCUCUCAGAAGUCUAACCGGAUUCCACCGACCUUAUUACGGCUCAGAUAUUGUGCCGUUCUUGGCCCGCAGCUCAGAUUACCCUCCGACUUAUUGUUAAUGGAGAUCAGCGAGCGGUCGCUAAGUGCCGGUGUUUAGCUGCCGACCCAAAGCCACCGACUCUCCGCACUUGUUUGUUUUGUUUGAAAAUGGCUUCUUAGAGUUUGAUGGUAAAGCUGCUGUGAUACACUUUCUAUCGAAGCCUUUAAUCAUCCGUCCUGCAGGCGGACGGGUCAGGGGUUGCUGCUAAAAGGCUCUAAUGCAUCCAGCUGAGAGCAAAUAUUCUGCCACCGACACUAAUGUGACCUCCAUCAGACAUCCUGGCUGAUCUGGACAUAUUGCACUUUAUUUAUUUGUACACCACGGCUGGGUUUCCUCUUCAUGAAACUCCUUUAGCAGCAGCAUUUAUUGGACAAAAACAACCAGACAGACCUGCAGACAAUUAAUCAAUCAGUUAUCGACUAUUAAUCUGAUCAACAAACGAUGAAAACAAAUACACCAGAGGAGACCUCUUCAGUCCAACACUCAAAAGAUGUUCUAUUCUCAGUGAAGAAAAGCAUCAAAUUCUCAAAUCUGAGAAGCUUGAAGCAGCUUAAAACAGUAAAAACCAAAUUAAUCUACAUCUGUUCUGAUGAUCCAUGAAUUUGUUGGAGUCUUUUUAGCUUCUUCAGUGUGAAUAUUUUCUGGUUUCUUUCCUCUGUGGCUCUAAACUGAAGAUCUCUGGAUUAAACUGGACUCUUGAGGAACAUCUGAUCCACAACAUAAUGAAACGACUUUGCAGCUCUUCUCUCUGAGCAUCAAACAGUUCAGAGUAAAUUUAAACUCUGUUAACAUCUGCUGGUGUUCAAACAUCGCCUGUUAAAACCAACGCUGGAGGAGGAGGUUAGCCUCUCGGUUCAUCUCGUCUUUAAUCCUCCAUGUUAACGGUUUCCGUUGGGGAAAUCACAGAACAUCUGACCUGCUGCUCAGAUUAAACCAAACAAUGAGGAGAAUUCUCUGUAAUUUAAUCAACUCAUAAAGAGCAGAGGAUGAAUCCUGAUGACAAAAAACUGCAGUUACAGAAAACUGCUGCUAUAUUUUGCUGGAUUUCACAGCUUCGGCGUCUCUGCACGUCAUCAGAACGUCUCCAUCUUCAGAGAAACGAUGACAGACAUCGAGCUUCCUGCAGCUUCAUAACAAAACACAUUUUUACACUGCAGAAAGACUCAAAGUAGAAACUCAAGAGAACCGACUAGAGUCCAGCUGUGAUUCCAGUCAGUCUAACUGAUGAACAUGGUUCUAAAUGAGCUGAGAACAGCAGAACGUUCUCAGUCCUGGACCUAUGGACUGGGUCUAUCUAUGUCUGCAUCAUGGCUCCACAUGGAGAAGAACUGAAAAGAGGAAGAGAAACAUCUGACUGAGAGACUCGACAAAGAUGGAAAAAGAUCCAGGAAGAUCAGUGAGCAACUAAAAACCAGAGAAGCACAGAGUCAGCAGGAAUCAGGAGGUCUAGAAGGAGUCAUAGUUCCACUGAUCAGGAGGUCUAGAAGGAGUCAUAGUUCCACUGAUCAGGAGGUCUAGAAGGAGUCAUAGUUCCACUGAUCAGGAGGUCUAGAAGGAGUCAUAGUUCCACUGAUCAGGAGGUCUAGAAGGAGUCAUAGUUCCACUAAUCAGGAGGUCUAGAAGGAGUCAUAGUUCCACUAAUCAGGAGGUCUAGAAGGAGUCAUAGUUCCACUGAUCAGGAGGUCUAGAAGGAGUCAUAGUUCCACUAAUCAGGAGGUCUAGAAGGAGUCAUAGUUCCACUAAUCAGGAGGUCUAGAAGGAGUCAUAGUUCCACUGAUCAGGAGGUCUAGAAGGAGUCAUAGUUCCACUAAUCAGGAGGUCUAGAAGGAGUCAUAGUUCCACUAACCAGGAGGUCUAGAAGGAGUCAUAGUAGCACUAACCAGGAGGUCUAGAAGGAGUCAUAGUUCCACUGAUCAGGAGGUCUAGAAGGAGUCAUAGUACCACUGAUCAGGAGGUCUAGAAGGAGUCAUAGUUCCACUAACCAGGAGGUCUAGAAGGAGUCAUAGUACCACUGAUCAGGAGGUCUAGAAGGAGUCAUAGUUCCACUAAUCAGGAGGUCU